UGCCUAGCACCUGUUGAUAAUUUAAUCAGUGCUUAUUGAGAGGAUGAGUGAGUAAACACGUGAGCAGGGGGCUGAAAACUUGGUCUCCGGCAUGAGACAAACUCAUGUCCAAAUCCCAUUGACUAAUUAAACUCAUUCAUUCACACAUGCCACUCAUUCAUUCAUUCAUUCAUUCAUUCGGAUUUGUACCGAGUGCCUGUUAUAUUGCAGGCACCCUGCUCGACAUUGCCAGAGGACAACCGGGAGGGACAGGGUCCCCGCCUCACAAGCUUAUAUCUGCAUGGUAGAGAGUGACAAUAAACAAGCAAAUCAGUAAGUGAACAAGACUCUACGAUGUUCUUAGAAGGAAAUGAGCAAGGGGGAGUGUGACAGAGGACCUGCACGUGGCCGUGGACUACUUCAGGAGACAGUCUCUGGACACCUCGUGUUCUGGCUGCAAGCACACCAUCUGGUUUGCCAAGGACCUUCUUCAAAUGAGGCCCCUGAAACUGAACGUGGAACUUCAAGCAAGCUCUGGCAGAGCUGGGACCAUGCCCGAGACCCGCAGACCCAACACAGCCUUACAACUGGGUCAUAA
rnacentral:lncRNA from 1 species